rnacentral:lncRNA from 1 species
UUUCACCUUUCGAUUCCAGCAAAUCGAACGAGGUAUGUUCGAAAAGGAAACCAAACUCGGCUUCCGAUUCCAUCAAAUCGAAGAAGGUUAGUUCGAAAUUUUUUGGUUGCUCUGUAGGAAAUAGAAUAGGGUCUUUUUCGAACAUCCAUACCAUGGAAAUAGAGGAUGAAAAUGGUAGAAAAGAAGAAAAUAAUCGGUGCAAGUAAGCUGGAAUCGAGGCAGGUACGGAUUUUCUCUCAGAUUUCUUUUGAAUAAUCAGCGACGACGCACAAUAUGUAAGGGUUACAACAGUUUUUUGUUCAAUAUUAAGUUCGAACAACAAAGGAAGUCUCGAUUCGGACAAACCGCUGCAGUUCUUGCCGUCUCCAUGCCCUAGUCACCUCGGUUCAUCGCCUUCACCGCCGCAUGCAUCCUCAUCUCCCUCGCCUCUCUGCCCUGUAUCUACCUUCAACCCGCAACCGCCACAGGCAAAGCCACGAUCACCGCCGUCGUGCCCUAGCCGCCCGCCUCUCUCUCUCACAUACACACACAUGCAUUGUGAAAAGCAGCAAGAAGCCACCGCCCCUCAACAAUCGAGAAAGAGAGUCGUCACCUAGGUUUGCUAUUCAAUUGGGAGUUUUUGAGAAAAUAUUUGUUUAGAUAAUUUAGGUGGCGUUUGUAUAAAUUUGAUAGGUAUUCGAAACUGAUGUUUAUUUAUUCAAUAUUUUUGUAUUUUUAUUCAUUGAAAAAGAAGCACAAC